UCUUCAGAGAAGAAACAGACAUGGAAACU
rnacentral:piRNA from 1 species